AACACCAACUCCGCCUUACCUCAUCCAAACUAAAUGGGGCCUGCUACAUGGAUCCGUGCCCUCCAAUCAGCUCUAUUUGAGGUUGUACUUGAUACAAGGCCUAAGCUAUGCAUGUCUUUCCUCACCACUUCUCCUAAGGUCAUUUUAGGUCUGUCC